rnacentral:rRNA from 1 species
CCUACGGGUGGCUGCAGUGGGGCAUAUUGCACAAUGGGCGCAAGCCUGAUGCAGCCAUGCCGCGUGUGUGAAGAAGGCCUUCGGGUUGUAAAGCACUUUCAGCGGGGAGGAAGGCGGUGAGGUUAAUAACCUCAUCGAUUGACGUUACCCGCAGAAGAAGCACCGGCUAACUCCGUGCCAGCAGCCGCGGUAAUACGGAGGGUGCAAGCGUUAAUCGGAAUUACUGGGCGUAAAGCGCACGCAGGCGGUCUGUCAAGUCGGAUGUGAAAUCCCCGGGCUCAACCUGGGAACUGCAUUCGAAACUGGCAGGCUAGAGUCUUGUAGAGGGGGGUAGAAUUCCAGGUGUAGCGGUGAAAUGCGUAGAGAUCUGGAGGAAUACCGGUGGCGAAGGCGGCCCCCUGGACAAAGACUGACGCUCAGGUGCGAAAGCGUGGGGAGCAAACAGGAUUAGAUACCCUAGUAGUC